AUUGUUGGGUAGAGGUCGACCGAUGUAUCGGUUUUGCCGAUUAAUCGGCACCGAUAGUUGAUUCCCGGAACUAUCGGUUAUCGGCAAAAAUCCACGCCGAUAGUUUUUCCGGGUUGCGUCAGAGCUGAAGCGGCUGAGAACGGUCCGUUGUCCUUAUACAGUGCGAGAGCCAACAUAUAUAUCUAUGGCAAGAGCCGCCUCUAUAGGCGAAAAUCGCUGUAAAGCACAUGCUUUUGUUUUGACACGUGAUACUGUUAGUUGCAAGGAGAGCGCAAGCUGCCUGGAGAGAGCGCGGUGCACGGACAACGCUGACACUUCAAAUGCACGUUUAAAACACAGACAGCGAAAAGGCACAGGGUGCGAUUUGCCGGGGGGAUGGGGGGAUCCGACUGGAGCGCUUCGAAACAGUGAAUCUUUUUGUGACGCAGUGUUUUACUGAUUCGGAGUUUCAAAAAGCUCUGUUGAUACUUUGCUCACCUUCUCUAUAUAAUAUAUUUGUUGUUUGAAAUGAAAUCAUUACUAUUAUAGGCCUAACUUACGAUGUUUUUAUUAAAUUUGUUAUCACGUAAUACAGCUCCCUUCGUAUUAAAACCAUUUCAUGACGUGA